rnacentral:lncRNA from 1 species
AAUGCAUUCGUCAAAGUGGUUUUUUAAAGAAACAAGACUAUAAUCCACAAAAACUGAAAGCAAAAUCUACAAACACUUACACAUUGUUUCCUAGUGAAAACCAAUGGAAAAUAACUUUAAAUAGAAGAGCACAACAGAAAUCGUGUGGAUUUUUUGCGAAGACAAAUGCGCCUUAUAAAGAGUUUGGCAAUGUUGAAUUAAACUCAAAUAAAUUGUUGCUUGAAAGCCUUCAGCAUAUUGGAAAUUGGUUUUUAGAUGAAAAGGCAAGAAUUAAAUCGACGAAUAACAUUCCUGAGUUUACAAAAAGUUCUCGUGACAUAACUGAUAGAUCUUCUCGCCAAAUACUAAAUUAUAAGGUGUUUGAUGAACACAAAAAACCUGAUAAUGGAAUCGCCUUAUUAAAACUACAUUUGGAAAAAAAUAACAAAUACAUUAAA